rnacentral:rRNA from 1 species
CACUCCUACGGGAGGCAGCAGUGGGGAAUAUUGGACAAUGGGCGCAAGCCUGAUCCAGCCAUGCCGCGUGAGUGAUGAAGGCCCUAGGGUUGUAAAGCUCUUUCACCGGUGAAGAUAAUGACGGUAACCGGAGAAGAAGCCCCGGCUAACUUCGUGCCAGCAGCCGCGGUAAUACGAAGGGGGCUAGCGUUGUUCGGAUUUACUGGGCGUAAAGCGCACGUAGGCGGACUAUUAAGUCAGGGGUGAAAUCCCGGGGCUCAACCCCGGAACUGCCUUUGAUACUGGUAGUCUUGAGUUCGAGAGAGGUGAGUGGAAUUCCGAGUGUAGAGGUGAAAUUCGUAGAUAUUCGGAGGAACACCAGUGGCGAAGGCGGCUCACUGGCUCGAUACUGACGCUGAGGUGCGAAAGCGUGGGGAGCAAACAGGAUUAGAAACCCCGGUAGUCCCA